rnacentral:rRNA from 1 species
GACAGAGGGUGCAAACGUUGUUCGGAAUUACUGGGCGUAAAGCGUGUGUAGGCGGCUUUGCAAGUCGGAUGUGAAAGCCCCGGGCUCAACCCGGGAAGUGCACUCGAUACUGCGGAGCUUGAGUGUCGGAGAGGUUGGUGGAAUUCUCGGUGUAGAGGUGAAAUUCGUAGAUAUCGAGAGGAACACCGGUGGCGAAGGCGGCCAACUGGACGAACACUGACGCUGAGACACGAAAGCGUGGGAGCAAACAGG